rnacentral:rRNA from 1 species
GAUGAACCUCCUUCGGGAGGGGAUUAGUGGCGAACGGGUGAGUAACACGUGGGCAAUCUGCCCUGCACUCUGGGACAAGCCCUGGAAACGGGGUCUAAUACCGGAUAUGAGCCUGGGAGGCAUCUCCCGGGUUGUAAAGCUCCGGCGGUGCAGGAUGAGCCCGCGGCCUAUCAGCUUGUUGGUGAGGUAACGGCUCACCAAGGCGACGACGGGUAGCCGGCCUGAGAGGGCGACCGGCCACACUGGGACUGAGACACGGCCCAGACUCCUACGGGAGGCAGCAGUGGGGAAUAUUGCACAAUGGGCGCAAGCCUGAUGCAGCGACGCCGCGUGAGGGAUGACGGCCUUCGGGUUGUAAACCUCUUUCAGCAGGGAAGAAGCGAGAGUGACGGUACCUGCAGAAGAAGCGCCGGCUAACUACGUGCCAGCAGCCGCGGUAAUACGUAGGGCGCAAGCGUUGUCCGGAAUUAUUGGGCGUAAAGAGCUCGUAGGCGGCUUGUCACGUCGGAUGUGAAAGCCCGGGGCUUAACCCCGGGUCUGCAUUCGAUACGGGCAGGCUAGAGUUCGGUAGGGGAGAUCGGAAUUCCUGGUGUAGCGGUGAAAUGCGCAGAUAUCAGGAGGAACACCGGUGGCGAAGGCGGAUCUCUGGGCCGAUACUGACGCUGAGGAGCGAAAGCGUGGGGAGCGAACAGGAUUAGAUACCCUGGUAGUCCACGCCGUAAACGGUGGGCACUAGGUGUGGGCAACAUUCCACGUUUGUCCGUGCCGCAGCUAACGCAUUAAGUGCCCCGCCUGGGGAGUACGGCCGCAAGGCUAAA